AAACCAGGGCCCAUGGUGGAGGUGUUUAUUUUGGCCAUCGGGGAGGCAACUGUGAAGAUCUCGUUUCUCUGUCUCUGCCUCAUCUUCCUCAGGUCCUGCAGUAGGAAGGCAGCAAGGGCAGCAGCAGGUGUGGAGGCUGCAAACACCGUCACGGGCUAAUCUCUCAGGCCUGCACACAGAGCUUCCAGAUGCCUCUGUGUCCAGUUCCUCCACAGUCUGAAUGGCCAUGUUUCCUUUCCAUGGCUGUAGAAUGAGGUGCAAACACUACAGC
rnacentral:lncRNA from 1 species